UACAGACUGAGCUGUCUUAAUGUUGCUCCA
rnacentral:piRNA from 1 species